GAUGAACGCUGGCGGCGUGCCUAAUACAUGCAAGUCGAGCGCAGGAAACUGACGGAACUCUUCGGAGGGAAGGCAGUGGAAUGAGCGGCGGACGGGUGAGUAACACGUAAGGAACCUGCCUCAAGGAUUGGGAUAACUCCGAGAAAUCGGAGCUAAUACCGGAUAGUUCAACGGACCGCAUGGUCCGCUGAUGAAAGGCGCUCCGGCGUCACCUUGAGAUGGCCUUGCGGUGCAUUAGCUAGUUGGUGGGGUAAUGGCCCACCAAGGCGACGAUGCAUAGCCGACCUGAGAGGGUGAUCGGCCACACUGGGCCGGAGACACGGCCCAGACUCCUACGGGAGGCAGCAGUAGGGAAUCUUCCACAAUGGACGAAAGUCUGAUGGAGCAACGCCGCGUGAGUGAUGAAGGUUUUCGGAUCGUAAAACUCUGUUGUAAGGGAAGAACACGUACGAGAGGGAAUGCUCGUACCUUGACGGUACCUUACGAGAAAGCCACGGCUAACUACGUGCCAGCCGCCGCAGUAAUAC
rnacentral:rRNA from 1 species